AUCGAACGCUGGCGGCAUGCCUUACACAUGCAAGUCGAACGGUAACGCGGGGCAACCUGGCGACGAGUGGCGAACGGGUGAGUAAUACAUCGGAACGUACCCAGUAAUGGGGGAUAGCCCGGCGAAAGCCGGAUUAAUACCGCAUACGACCUAAGGGUGAAAGAGGGGGAUCGCAAGACCUCUCGUUAUUGGAGCGGCCGAUGGCAGAUUAGGUAGUUGGUGGGGUAAAGGCCUACCAAGCCGACGAUCUGUAGCUGGUCUGGGAGGACGACCAGCCACACUGGGACUGAGACACGGCCCAGACUCGUACGGGAGGCAGCAGUGGGGAAUUUUGGACAAUGGACGCAAGUCUGAUCCAGCAAUGCCGCGUGCGGGAAGAAGGCCUUCGGGUUGUAAACCGCUUUUGUCAGGGAAGAAAUCUUCUGGGUUAAUACCUCGGGAGGAUGACGGUACCUGAAGAAUAAGCACCGGCUAACUACGUGCCAGCCGCCGCAGUAAAAC
rnacentral:rRNA from 1 species